rnacentral:misc_RNA from 1 species
UGAAUUGGUCAGAACUGUCAUCUUCAAGACUUACAUGCUUGCAGGGAAAGUUAAGGUCUAAUUAAGUUUUCACUUUCAGUCUGAAAGCUGUAGCUCUAAUUCUUCUGAUUCAUCUGAUGGAUGGAAGCUAAAGUCUACUUGUUUCUUUUCCUUGAGCAAUAAUACAGAAUAAUUAAUGAUGUUUGGGUAAGCAGAGCAUGUAAGGAUGAUACUUGCCUUUGUUUUUGGUCUGAGCUUUUGAGGU